UUCUUGUUUGUUCCUGAACUUCACACUAGUUGGUCAUAUUAAUUUAAUUUCAAAUCCUGUACCUUUUAAUAUUUUCUGCUUCUUUAGAUUUACUAACGAAAAAGGAAAAUCAACUGGUUAAGCAUAUGGGACUCCAAUUCAGAAGCCGACAGCGAUACGUGUAGGUAUAUCCUAAAAGGCGUGCAGCGGUGGGUAAGAUGAAAUGACUUAUUCUGAUAUUUAGGUAUAAUGUUUAUAGAUAUGUUUAAAAUGUAUAAUAUAUAUAUUUCUCAUAUAGAAAAAAUAGCACUUGUUUCUUUUCAUACUAUCUUAUUAAAUCAUCAAUCAUCUGAUUUGUUAAGUAU